AGCUCCAAUAGCGUAUAUUAAAGUUGUUGCAGUUAAAAAGCUCGUAGUUGGAUAUCUGGGAGCGACCAGUCACACACUCUGUGUGUGAACUUGUGUUGUCUCUGGCCAUUCUUGGGGAGAUCCUGUUUGGCAUUAAGUUGUCGGACAGGGGAUACCCAUCGUUUACUGUGAAAAAAUUAGAGUGUUUAAAGCAGGCUUAUGCCGUUGAAUAUAUUAGCAUGGAAUAAUAAGAUAGGACUUCGGAACUAUUUUGUUGGUUUGCGUUACGAAGUAAUUAUUAAUAGGGACAGUUGGGGGUAUUCAUAUUUCGUUGUCAGAGGUAAAAUUCUUAGAUUUCCAAAAGACGAACUACUGCAAAAGCAUUUACCAAGGAUGUUUUCA
rnacentral:rRNA from 1 species